UCUCAUUUUUUUUUGUUUCCAAUGUUGAGGAAUGUAACACUUGUAUUGUACUUGAUACUUUUAACCAAUAGGAUUUUUAUUUCUUUUCAUAAUUGUGACUUAUGGUUUCAAUUAGACAUUAUUAAUUAAAGUGGUUUGGUUAGAAAGUUGUUGAUGUGAUAAUUAUUUAAUGUGGCUUAUAUAUGUGGAUUGGCUUUUGAUAAAUGAUAACUAAUAACUUUUUUGAACAUGCUUAUAAUUUAUAAAAUGAAUCAUCUUUUAGGCAUUUUAAUAUUUUUUUCCUUUUUUUUUUCACUAUUUAUUAUAUUUGUCCUAUUUUUAAGUUAAAAAAUAGAAGUAUCAUGUAGCUUACGCUUCACGCUAUGUAUUUACGCUACACGCUAUAGAGGGCUGAGCGCUACGCAUCACGCUACCGCUAUUUAAAACACUGGUUAUAGGUAAGAAGAUGUAUAUUCACACCAAGCAAAACUUGGAGAAGAAAUUUAUUCUGAAAUGUUAUAAUCAUAGAAGAAAUCUUAGCACCAAAUAUGAUAUUUUGUUAAGCCCAUCUAGGUGAAUAUUUAAGCCGACUAUUAGGCUAAACCAACCAUCAAGUGGGUCAUAAAAAGGUGCCCACGAAUUCAAAAUACCUAUAACAUAUAUAUCCUGAUAAUGCUAAGAUUUGCCAGAACAAAAAAUUACAAGUCAAUGGCCUAAUUCAACUCAUUUGCAACUCACAAGAAGAUGAGAGGCAUUGUACAAUAGUGUUGGAUUACAUAAUCAGAUGCUACAACUAGAAUUCAUGGCUCCCUAAUCUAGACUAAUGACUUGGGGGGCCCCACUCAAAUAGGGCCAUGUAAAAUGCAUGUAAAAGGAGACAACAUUAGUUGCUUCAAGAACAAAAGGUUGCAUAGGGACACAUGGACAGUCCAAUCAAUUGAUACAAACCUUUCCAUCAAGUUCAAACCACAAUUAGUGAACCGCCAAGCAAAAAUCACACUAGUCAAAUAAUUGUAACCAUCCAUUCAGUAGCCAAAAAUUUGCCAGAAAAUGGACAGUAAAGAUUGUUUAUGGAAAUAAUAGGUCCAAUCAAGAAUUCCAAACAUCCAUUUGGAGGGACCAUAGUUGAUUGCAUAUGGUUGUAAACAACCCCUUUGAUUAUAUGCUCCUAAACAUAUCAUCCAUAGAUCGGAAAACCAGUGGGCAGUGGCUACAAGAAAGAAGGCCAAGUUCUAUAUCCAUGCCGUCCAUCAGUUUUGCCAGCUCAUUAUAGGGCUUGGGCCCAAAAAUGAAGCAUAUCCAAACCUCAGGUGGGCCACACCACAAGAAAUAGUGGUGAUUGAAUGCCCACCAAUAAAACUUAUUGCCGGCUACAAAAGUUUUGGAUCAACCCGAUAUUCAUGUUUACCCUUCAUCCAGGUAUGUGUGACCUUAUCAACAUGUUGGACAACAAAUAAAUAUUAUGGUGGGCCUUAGGAAGUUUUUAAUGGUCGACGUUCAAUCACCAUUGUUUCCUGUGGUGUGGCCCACCUAAGACUUGGAUUUGCUUCAUGUUUGGGCCCAAGCCCUAAAAUGAGCUGGCAAAACUGAUGGACGGCAUUUUGCCCACUUUUCAAGGUAUAAAUCUUAGUAAAGGUCCCAAAAUGCCAACCCUUUCUGGAAUUUUGCCCACUUUUCCAAUUAAAAAUCUGGGUAAUGGCAUCAAAAUGUCUAUCCUUUAGGUAUUUUGCCCAAUUUUCAAGUUAAAAAUCUGGAAAGUGCAUAAAAAUGUCAAUCCUUUGGACAUUUUGCUUGCUUUUCAAGUUAAAAAUCUUGGCUAGGGCACCUAAAUAACUAUCCUUGAGGCGGUUUCCCCACUUUCCAAGAUAGAAAUCAAGGUAAAGGCACUUAAAUGCCUAUCUUGGAUGCAUUUUGCUCGCUUUUCAAAUUAAAAAUCUCAAUAAGGGCUCCUAAAUGGCUAUCCUUUAGCCAUUUUGCCCACUUCCUAAGUUAAAAAUCAAAUUAAGGGCGCCCAAAUUCCAAUGCUUGAAUUAUUUUUACCACUUAUUAAGUUAAAAGUUUAGGCAAGCAUACCAAAAUGCCAAUCCUUGAGGAAAUUGCCCACUUUUCAGGUUUUAAAAAAAGAAAACAUAAUAAGCAAACCAAAAUGCAAUCCUUGAGGCAAUUUGUUCACUUUCUAAGAUACUUUGUGACUGCAGCUUAAUGCCUAUCCUUGACAUAUUUUACCCACUCUCAAGUUAAAAUUCUAAGGGCACCUAAAUGCCUAUCUUUGAAGUAUUUUUCCUAGUUUUCAAGUUAAAACAAGGGCAAAAAAACUCCGAUCUUUGAAGCAUUUUUCCCAGUUUUCAAGUUAAAAUCUAAGGGCAUCUAAGUGCUUAUCCUUGAGAGACAUUUGCUCACUUUUCAAGUUGAAAAUUUAGGUUAGGGCACAUAAAUGCCAAUCCUUAUGUGUUUUUCUCACUUUUCAAGUUGAAAAUCUAGUUAAGGGCACCUAAAUGCCCGUCCUUAAAAGCAUUAUGCCCACUUUUCAAGUUAGAAAUAUACGCAAAGGUGCCACAGUGGAAAUCCUUGAAGCAUUUUGCCCACAUUUCAAGUUAAGACUUUGGGUAAGGGCACAGAACUUCCAAUUGGUGGGGCACUUCCGCAUUUCUCGAGCUAAAAAUCUUGGUAAGAGCACCAAAAUGCAAUACUUGAGGCGUUUUGCCACUUUUGAAGUUAAAAAUCUGGUCAGAGGCUAUUAAAAGCUUAUUCUUCAGGCAUUUUGCCAACACUUGGCAUAUGUGGGCAGUGUAAUGCAUGGUUUGGAUCAUCCAAAUGGGUCUUAGGUGAGGCCCAUAGAAAUGUGGUGUCUACAACCUCUAUACAUGCCCCAUAGUAUCGUACUUAAAAAAUUUAAAAUAU